UUACGGCCAUAUCAUUUUGAAAUACCGGUUCCCGUCCAAUCACCAAAGUUAAGCAAUAUUGACUCUGGUCAGUACCUAGAUGAAUAACCGCUUGGGGAUACCGCGUGCUGUAAG